rnacentral:misc_RNA from 1 species
AUUAUAUCCAAACUGAAUUACUCUUGGCCAAUCAGAAUUUUCCAAUAGUAGAGGCUAUUUAUACCUACAAUAUGUCAAGUACAAACAUGUAGAAAAGCACAGCAUAGUGCAAGGCUCCCACCAUCAUGGGGUUUUGGAGAGGAUUAGAUGCAAGCAAACUUCCAUUUUGGAGAUUGAAGAGAUUGUCAGAAUACAAAUCCUUGAGCAUAUCUCAUUUCAAAAGUAUGAUGAUAUAUUCCAAUAUGAUGAUAUAUUCCAAUGUCUAACGCAAAUCUUACUGUUUCACCAUCAUCA